UGCCAGCCGCGGCGGUAAUACGGAGGGGGUUAGCGUUGUUCGGAAUUACUGGGCGUAAAGCGUACGUAGUCGGAUCAGAAAGUAUGGGGUGAAAUCCCAGUGCUCAACCCUGGAACUGCCUCAUAAACUCCUGGUCUUGAGUUCGAGAGAGGUGAGUGGAAUUCCGAGUGUGGAGGUGAAAUUCGUAGAUAUUCGGAGGAACACCAGUGGCGAAGGCGGCUCACUGGCUCGAUACUGACGCUGAGGUACGAAAGUGUGGGGAGCAAACAGGAUUAGAUA
rnacentral:rRNA from 1 species